rnacentral:rRNA from 1 species
UACAGAGGUCUCAAGCGUUGUUCGGAUUCAUUGGGCGUAAAGGGCGCGUAGGCGGCGGGGUAAGUCGGGUGUGAAAUCUCAGAGCUCAACUCUGAAACUGCACUCGAUACUGCUCUGCUUGAGGACUGGAGAGGAGACUGGAAUUCACGGUGUAGCAGUGAAAUGCGUAGAUAUCGGGAGGAAGACCAGUGGCGAAGGCGGGUCUCUGGACAGUUCCUGACGCUGAGGCGCGAAGGCCAGGGGAGCAAACGGG